ACGAACGCUGGCGGCGUGCUUAACACAUGCAAGUCGAACGGAAAGGCCCUGCUUUUGUGGGGUGCUCGAGUGGCGAACGGGUGAGUAACACGUGAGUAAACUGCCCUUGACUUUGGGAUAACUUCAGGAAACUGGGGCUAAUACCGGAUAGGAGCUCCUGCUGCAUGGUGGGGGUUGGAAAGUUUCGGCGGUUGGGGAUGGACUCGCGGCUUAUCAGCUUGUUGGUGGGGUAGUGGCUACCAAGGCUUUGACGGGUAGCCGGCCUGAGAGGGUGACCGGCCACAUUGGGACUGAGAUACGGCCCAGACUCCUACGGGAGGCAGCAGUGGGGAAUAUUGCACAAUGGGCGGAAGCCUGAUGCAGCAACGCCGCGUGCGGGAUGACGGCCUUCGGGUUGUAAACCGCUUUCGCCUGUGACGAAGCGUGAGUGACGGUAAUGGGUAAAGAAGCACCGGCUAACUACGUG
rnacentral:rRNA from 1 species